rnacentral:tRNA from 1 species
GCGGCUGUGGCGGAAUUGGUCUACGCGCACGGUUCAGGUCCGUGUGGGCGCAAGCCCUUGGGGGUUCGAGUCCCUCCAGCCGCA